rnacentral:rRNA from 1 species
GACGAACGCUGGCGGCGUGCUUAACACAUGCAAGUCGAGCGAGAAAAGUUCUUCGGAGCUUUUCUAGCGGCGGACGGGUGAGUAACACGUGGGCAACCUGCCUCAUAGAGGGGAAUAGCCUUCCGAAAGGAAGAUUAAUACCGCAUAACAUUGUUGAAAGGCAUCUUUUAACAAUCAAAGGAGCAAUCCGCUAUGAGAUGGGCCCGCGGCGCAUUAGCUAGUUGGUGAGGUAACGGCUCACCAAGGCGACGAUGCGUAGCCGACCUGAGAGGGUGAUCGGCCACAUUGGAACUGAGACACGGUCCAGACUCCUACGGGAGGCAGCAGUGGGGAAUAUUGCACAAUGGGGGAAACCCUGAUGCAGCAACGCCGCGUGAGUGAUGAAGGUCUUCGGAUUGUAAAGCUCUGUCUUUAGGGACGAUAAUGACGGUACCUAAGGAGGAAGCCACGGCUAACUACGUGCCAGCAGCCGCCGUAAAAC